CUCGGCCACCCAACCACACCAUGAUGAAGCUUGUCGUGCUCGCCGCAGUCGUGGCCGUGGCAGCCGCCAGCGGCUACGGAGACGCCCACAGUUACACCCGAGUGCAGACAUAUGACGGCUACGGUGGCGCCGCCUACGGAACCGAGA